rnacentral:tRNA from 1 species
GGGGAUGUGGCUCAGUUGGUAGAGUAUGUGCCUAGUAUGCACAAGGCCCUGGGUUCCAUCCCAA